rnacentral:rRNA from 1 species
UACGUAGGGUGCAAGCGUUAUCCGGAAUUAUUGGGCGUAAAGAGCUCGUAGGCGGUUUGUCGCGUCUGCCGUGAAAGUCCGGGGCUCAACCCCGGAUCUGCGGUGGGUACGGGCAGACUAGAGUGAUGUAGGGGAGACUGGAAUUCCUGGUGUAGCGGUGAAAUGCGCAGAUAUCAGGAGGAACACCGAUGGCGAAGGCAGGUCUCUGGGCAUUAACUGACGCUGAGGAGCGAAAGCAUGGGGAGCGAACAGG